UAAAGAAACAUGGCGCUGUUUCUUGGUCUCGUGGAGGCUCUGUAGCAUGUCCACACUGCUGCUGUGUCAGAACUGGCUCCACUGAUUGAUUUUACACUGAGGGCUCACAGGACCUGCAGUCUCUUUGGGAAUGAUUGAAAGCAAUGAAGGAAAUCUCUGUUUCUUUUAACUGCUCCAAUGCAUCCAAUUCCCCUUGUAAUUUUGGCCCAGCCCACUGAAGAGAACUGUUGGACCCUUCAUGGCUGAGGCCUGCUGCUGUUUUAACUUCGGGGAUCAGCAGGACCACACAGAAGCACUGGUCUCCUUUCUGAUAGCUCCUGUGUCCCCUCUAUGUAUAGUGACGUGUUAACUGGGAAAUUAGUUGUUGCCCCCACCACACCUUUUGUUAGAAACUACUUAACAAGAGAGAGAAACAGGAACAGCAUGGUGGUGAGUUCCUGGGUUUUCUUUUCACCUUGUGUAUCCCACACUUAGUGCUGAAGAAGCCGGCAAACCUGAUAUGCUAGUAAGGGCAGACACAAAAAUGCCCCAACCAAAGCCUGUCCUCUCUAGCCAGUGGACCAGGAAAGGAAUGGCCUAGCAAGACAGAAAACUUUGAGACAACACUUGCUUUACUCCAGCCAGAUGCUACAGGGGAAAUUGUGCUGCCACGCCUAUCCACACCUGCAAAGAUGGAGUGGGAAACCCAGACUUCCACCAAUACAGGCUGUAACAAGGUAUCCCACACCACCACCGGGUGUGUCAAGAAGGCCAGGUAGAGAACCGGGACUUAGGCACUCCCACCAUGGUGUCAGUAGAGACCAUAUCGGGAUCUUGGACCCACACCUGUCAGUCACAGGGAGCGUCCUCCCAUUGGGUGUCAACAUCAGCCAAGUAAAAAAUCUAGAUGUUGGCCAGGCACAGGCUCAUGCCUGUAAUCCCAGCACUUUGGGAGGCUGAAGUGGGCAGAUCACUUGGGGUCAGGAGUUUGAGAGCAGCCUGGCC
rnacentral:lncRNA from 10 species